rnacentral:rRNA from 1 species
GAUGAACGCUGGCGGCGUGCCUAAUACAUGCAAGUCGAGCGAACAGACGAGGAGCUUGCUCCUCUGACGUUAGCGGCGGACGGGUGAGUAACACGUGGAUAACCUACCUAUAAGACUGGGAUAACUUCGGGAAACCGGAGCUAAUACCGGAUAAUAUAUUGAACCGCAUGGUUCAAUAGUGAAAGACGGUUUUGCUGUCACUUAUGGAUGGAUCCGCGCCGCAUUAGCUAGUUGGUAAGGUAACGGCUUACCAAGGCGACGAUGCGUAGCCGACCUGAGAGGGUGAUCGGCCACACUGGAACUGAGACACGGUCCAGACUCCUACGGGAGGCAGCAGUAGGGAAUCUUCCGCAAUGGGCGAAAGCCUGACGGAGCAACGCCGCGUGAGUGAUGAAGGUCUUCGGAUCGUAAAACUCUGUUAUUAGGGAAGAACAAAUGUGUAAGUAACUGUGCACGUCUUGACGGUACCUAAUCAGAAAGCCACGGCUAACUACGUG